rnacentral:lncRNA from 1 species
AUGAGGGACGGACGGUUUCAGGAGAGGAGGAGGUGUUUCAUCCUGAAUAGCUAAGAACAGCACCACUAGAAUGGGUGGAUUUACAGUCACUUAGGGAAGUAAAGUGUCAAUUAAAUCCCCCGGUAAUAUAGUGCCUAAUAUUACCUAAAAUAUGCACACAUUGAGUUCUGAUUAGUGCCUAGCAGUGUGAGGUGGGGGAGGCUGUGAUUUGGGUCGGGCUGGUCCUGCCUGCAAGGAGCACAGCCCUGGGGUGAGACAAACCCGCAGUACUCGGGGAGUCCGCUCUGUGCUGUGAAAUUCCAAGCCAGGAGGUGGCAGCCUCAGCCAAGAGGAAGAAGUCCUUGGGGAACAGGGGGGUGAGCAGUGAGAAACAGGGUGUCUUUUGAUCCCUGCUCUCCCACUUCCUAAUGUCUGAAGAAGGGUUUAAACGGGGAAAGUCACACCACAAGAUAUAUUUUAAAAAGUUAGGCAGGAAGAAAAUGGAAAUCUGCAUCUAUACAAGGGAAUAAAGAACGUAAGUGGUUUUAAAAAAGUGGUGGGGGGAGUUAAGAGUCUUAUUUCUUGCCAGGCACGGUGGCUCAAGCCUGUAAUCCCAGCACUUUGGAGGCUGAGGCGGUUGGAUCACCUGAGGUCAGGAGUUCGAGACCAGCCUGGCCAACAUGGUGAAACACUGUCUCUGCCAAAAAUACAAAAAUUAGCCAGGUGUGGUGGUGUACGCUUGUAAUCCCAGCUACUUGGGAGGCUGAGGCAGGAGGAUCACUUGAACCCAGGAGGUGGAGGUUGCAGUGAGCUGAGAUUGCACCAUUGCACUCCAGCCUGGACAGCAGAGCAAGACUCUGUCUCAAAAAAAAAGUCUUAUUUCUUGAUCAAGAAAAAUCAAGGCAAAAUAUAAAAGGUGAAGAGUAAUCCUUUUUCUUCAAGGCAAAUGUGUAGGGCAGGGAAGGAGAGAAGAGGAGGAGAUGUGAAUCAUUUAGACUUGUGGCAGCUGAAGACGUGGGGACUGAAGGCCUCACAGCUAUAGAACUUUCUUUUUUUAUUUUGGACUCAGGAGAACAUGUACAGGUUGUUACACGGGUAUAUUGUGUGAUGCUGAGAUUUAGAAUACGGUGCUCCCAUCACCCUUCAGAGUUCUGUGUACUCUUUCCAUUUCAACAUAAAAAUAAAAAAGGACGGACUCUUCCCAGCACCUGGCAGAUGCUGACCUCCUGGUCAUUCUGCCCAUUCAUUCACCCAAAUAUUUGCUGGCAUUUACUGAGUGCUGAGGACUGAAAGGCAAUUGCACUUCCUGAUGGCCCUGAAAGGUACAGUGGAUGGGUGCCAAAGGACCUGUGUUGAUUCCUUCCUUCCCUUUCAUCAUUCCUGGCCGCUUGAACCUGGGCCAGCCUUGUGACUCGCUUCGACGGAUAGAAUGCCACAAAAGUGAUGCGUGCCAGUGUCUGGACCAGCCUGUCAGGGGCCUGGCAGUUUCUAUGUUCUUUCAGCCAGUGUGACUAGCCUGAGCCCACCGUGCUGUGAGGAAGCCCAAGCAGCCACGUGGAGAAGCCUCCUCUGAUUUUGAUGAAGGCAUCUAAGCUGAAGGCAGGCAGAUAUCGGUGAAAAAAAUGGUCAGGUGUGGUGGCUCAUGCCUGUAAUCCCAGCACUUUGGGAGGCCGAGGCAGGCAGACUGCUUGGGCUCACAAGUUCAAGAGACCAUCCUGGCCAUCAUGGCAAAACCCUGGCUCUACUAAAAAUACAAAAAAUUAGGCGGGCAUGGUGGUGGGCACCUGUAGUCCCAGCUACUCGGGAAGGCUGAGGCAGGAGAAUGGCAUGGACCCAGGAGGCGGAGCUUGCAGUGAGCCGAGAUUGUGCCACUGCACUCCAGCCUGGGCGACAGAGCAAGACUCAGUCUCAAAAAAAAAAAAAAAAAAAAAAAAAAAAAAAAUAUUAGCCAGGUGUUGUGGUGUGUGCCUGUGCCUGUAGUCCCAGCUACUCCAGAGGCUGAGGCAUGAGAAUUGCUUGAGGCGGAGGUUGCAGUGAGCCAAGAUUGCAUCACUGCACUCCAGCCUGGGUGACACAGUGAGACUCUGUCCCCUCCCCCACAAAAAAAGAAGUCAGUGAAAAAUGGCACUUUGAGAAUGUCUGAUGACAUGUGGAUUGGGCACUAUGCCCAUGCCCCAUCUCCCAAAUGCUCACAGUGGCUCCCUCUUCCCCCUGGCUGUACAAGGGGCAGUUGGUGGCUGGUUUUCAGCCAGGACUGCUCCCCUCCCGCCCCACCUACACUUCUUAUUACUUUUGUUUUUUAAAAAAAUUUUGGCUGGGCGCCGUGGCUCACGCCUGUAAUCCCAGUACUUUAGGAGGCCGAGGUGAGUGAAUCACUUGAGAUUAGGAGUUUGAGACCAGUCUGGCCAACAUAGCAAAACCCUAUCUCUACUAAGAAAAUAUAAAUAUUAGCAGGGUGUGGCGGCACAUGCCUGUAGUUCCAGCUACUUGGGAGGCUGAGGUAGAAUUGCUUGAACCUGGAAGGCAGAGGCUGCAGUGAGCUGAGAUCUCGCCAUUGCACUCCAGCCUGGGUGACAGAGCAAGACUGCUUCAAGAAAAAAAUUUUUUUUAUAGAGAUGGGGUCUCACUAUGUUGCCCAGGGUGUUCUUGAACUCCUGGGCUCGAUCAAUCCUCCUGCCUCGGCCUCCUGAAGUGCUGGGAUCACAGGUGUGAGUCACUGCGCCCAGUGUCCCAGCUCCUGCUCUGAUCCAGCUCUGGCAUUAACCAAGCUUCAUGGCUGCAGGCAGAACAAUUUCUCCAGUCCUCAAUUUCUCCUUGGUGAUUCUCUUAAUGCAUUUUAAAAAUAUUGAAAAUAGAUGUUUUAUUUUGUUUAUACAAGGUACAAUGU